rnacentral:rRNA from 1 species
GAAAAGAAACCAACAGGGAUUGCCCUAGUAACGGCGAGUGAAGCGGCAACAGCUCAAAUUUGAAAGCUAGCCUUCGGGUUCGCAUUGUAAUUUGUAGAGGAUGAUUUGGGGAAGCCGCCUGUCUAAGUUCCUUGGAACAGGACGUCAUAGAGGGUGAGAAUCCCGUAUGUGACAGGAAAUGGCACCCUAUGUAAAUCUCCUUCGACGAGUCGAGUUGUUUGGGAAUGCAGCUCUAAAUGGGAGGUAAAUUUCUUCUAAAGCUAAAUAUUGGCGAGAGACCGAUAGCGCACAAGUAGAGUGAUCGAAAGAUGAAAAGCACUUUGGAAAGAGAGUUAAAAAGCACGUGAAAUUGUUGAAAGGGAAGCGCUUGCAAUCAGACUUGUUUAAACUGUUCGGCCGGUCUUCUGACCGGUUUACUCAGUUUGGACAGGCCAGCAUCAGUUUCGGCGGCCGGAUAAAGGCUCUGGGAAUGUGGCCUCCACUUCGGUGGAGGUGUUAUAGCCCAGGGUGUAAUACGGCCAGCC